UUUUUUAAGGAAGAAUGAAGGAGAAAAAAUCUAAAAAUCACUUGCUAAUUAAUUUACUUUUUCAUUCAAGGAAAUGAAAGCAUUUAUUAAAUGCUUAUUACAUGUCAAAGACCUUUUUACUUUGAGACAAUUUUCCACCUGACCUGGUUGUGUUAACUCUUCCCUUGUAUACGUUUGGGAGACAGCCUGAUAUGGUGGAGACGGCAUGAGCCUCUGCAUCAGACCAAUGUGUGUGUCUAAAUCCUGACUCCAGCACCGGGUGAAGUUGGGUAAGUCAUUUAAACACUCUGAGUUCCGUUUCCUUACACGUAAAAUCAGUGUGUUAAUAGAGCAAUGCAGGCUUUCUAAGGAUUUGAAUAAUUUCUGCUCUGCUGGGCUGUGUGGGUCACAAACCCACCAGCCACACCCAGAUCUUUGUUCUCCACCAACCUGGAGUGACACAAUUAAGCAGGAUCUUUUUUUUUUUUUUUUAAUCAUAAAAAGAUGGCUGGAGUAGGGAAUCAGGGAAUAUGAGCCACUGGGAUAGUGGCCAAGUUUUUCCAAGAUUCUGAGAGGGAGGACGGAUUUCUUUUUCCCGGGCCAAACUUGCAAAUUCCCAAGUGUAUCACCAACUACAAAGCCCUCCACGUUAACACACCAUUCAGGGCGAUUAAUGUUAGGUUCUCAAGCAAGUUGUAGACUCAACACAGAGGAGGAUGUAUGCAGGGCAAGUAGGGCUGUGUAAUCUUAAAUUAUAGUGAGUUAAAUGGGAGCCUUUGAGAAAUGAUUAGGUUUAUCCAUAGUAUUUGCAGGUCUCUCUUGCCAGCUCACAUACUGCGGCCACAAUGAGAACGAGGGAAUCAUGGAACCUUCCAUACAGCCUUGCCAAUUCUCUUUUUUAGUAGGAAGCUGAUUAUUCAGUUUGGAAAUUAACCCAGAUUCCUUGUUUCUCUUUCUGCCUACUUUCCUUCACUGUUUUCUGAUCAGUUGGCUUAUUAGAAGCUCUGCCAGAGGGUAGAAAGGAACACGUUCAGGAAGCACUGAGUCAGGGUUUCAUUGUUUUCCGGUAACACAGAUAAAAGUUAUUUGGGAGACUAUACUCUAAGAUUGUCCUUUACUCCUGAUUAUGCAAAUGACGUAUCAAUCAAAGCCCUGGUAGGAUUAUCUGGUUUUCUACACUAAUACUCCAUUCUUUAGAACUGGACAUUCAGGAGUUACCAUCUCCUUUUCCCCUCAUUACCAUGGACAAAUUAAAAUCUGGGUGUACCAAAACUCUCCCAGAGGUUUUAUAUUUAUUUUUAGCUCUACGCAUUGAUGCAAAACUAGUUUAGGAAAACAAACAAAAAAAAAGUGAAUUUCAUCUUUGAACUGGUGAAAACAAUUUAUAACAUAUUGAAUAACUUAGAGAGUUUCCAAUGUGUAAUAAGCCAACAGUUGAUAUAGUUUACUUUCCUGCCUUAUAACUUAUUUGAUGAAAAGUAUAGCUGGCUUCUCAGAAAAUGUGUAAGGACGUUAUUUUCUAACCACCUAGCCACCAUGCAAUAUUUAUUGUUACUGCAGAGAUUUUUUUUUCCACCCUUAGCCUCAGCCUGAGAUCAUUUUACGCCCUAAAGCACAUCACAGUAUGCCCUGAAGCAAUCCUGGGAAUCAGAAGUGAAUCUUUAAAUCACCUAAUUUCACAUCCCAGCAGCUAUGGUUUGGUCAAUAUCUGUGCAGAGUAGACACUGAGUCAAAGGUUAAAAACACAAAGACAAAAACCCCAAACUGAGUGGAAUAAAUAACUUGUCUUCAGGUGGAAAGAGUCUGUAUCUUUGUCAACUUUGCUUCCAUAAUACCCAUUUUCAAAAACAUUAGCAUCUCAACAUCCACAGAACAACCCUCCUGAAGUACUUUUCGAAUAAUUAGGCACUGUCUUUAUUACAUGUGAGUAUAGAGAGAGACCUGGCUCUGGAGUCUGCUUCUAGGUGAUCAUCACUUUUGAUCUUUAUUUGUUCAAACUUGAAGAUUAUUGCUUUUCAUAUUGCCUGUGAGCCCUUGGAAGCUAAAAAUGAGAUCCAGCUAUCAAGAUCUAGGCAAGCUAUUGAUUCAGAAUCCUUUAAAAGUGCUCAAAUGUGCAGAUUCAACUAUAGCCAUACAUAUAAUUUUAUUUUAUUCUUAAAAUGAUAGAAUAUACAUGGACUUUGGAGAAUGGCAAAAAUUGUUGUGUGACUUCCAUCAAUUUAAUUAGGCCAAGUCUUUUGUUUUGCAUAAACGAUCUAGAAAUACUUAUUUUGUAAGAUGUUUGUAAAGUAUAACACAGUUCUCAUCGUAAACUUUCCAGAACAUUACCUGUUAUAUGAGAGCUACGCAAAUUUUCCCUCUCUUUAUAAGCAAACUUGAAAAGUUAGUUGAAUAUCUUUUUCUUAUGUUAUGGGCUAACAGGAUAACACAAUUUGGAAAAAUAAAUUUUCUGG
rnacentral:lncRNA from 1 species